ACUUCUCAAGCCCUCCAUGUUUUUUGUGAACUUGGUCUGGGACUUUGGAUGUGGAGGUUUCUGCAGGCCUUUUGUUAGGUCUGCUCCUCUGAAAUGCAUUAGCGGAACUGUUUGUGAUCCGUCAGAGGUGUGAUAAUUAUCUACGCCAGUGGGUCGCUCUCUGUCUUGUUCAGCUUAUAACCGUCCCUAUGUGGACAACAUCACUGAAU
rnacentral:misc_RNA from 1 species